rnacentral:lncRNA from 1 species
CUACUUUUAGGUAUUCUACCUAGAUAGUUAGAUACAUGACACAGACCAUAGGCUUCACAUAUUUCACGGCAUGGUUUGCUUUCAAAACCCUGUGAGCAUGCACAUAACCUAACUGCAUCUAUACUUAAAUAGUACUAGGUGAUAAACUUACAAUCCUCACAUAGCCUCAAUUACAACAUGUGGCUAGGCAAAUAUACGAACUACACAGUUAACGUAUACCGUGACGACAUACGACAGUUCCGAGACCGAAAUACAGGACAACAGGGCCUUUUUUAAGGAUUUUCCCGUGGGGGGGGGGGCAUUUUUUGAAAAGGGACCUUUCUGUGAGAUAAUAUUAGAGGGGAUAUCAAAGGCCGACGGCCACGUGUGUGGCCGACAUACUCCCCCAGAAAAUGUUUUAAAUUUGAACCUUUCAAAUGCCAUUUCCUGCUUUAUGAGC